GAUGAACGCUGGCGGCGUGCCUAAUACAUGCAAGUCGAGCGAACAGACGAGGAGCUUGCUCCUCUGACGUUAGCGGCGGACGGGUGAGUAACACAUGGAUAACCUACCUAUAAGACUGGGAUAACUUCGGGAAACCGGAGCUAAUACCGGAUAAUAUAUUGAACCGCAUGGUUCAAUAGUGAAAGACGGUUUUGCUGUCACUUAUAGAUGGAUCCGCGCCGCAUUAGCUAGUUGGUAAGGUAACGGCUUACCAAGGCAACGAUGCGUAGCCGACCUGAGAGGGUGAUCGGCCACACUGGAACUGAGACACGGUCCAGACUCCUACGGGAGGCAGCAGUAGGGAAUCUUCCGCAAAGGGCGAAAGCUUGACGGAGCAACGCCGCGUGAGUGAUGAAGGUCUUCGGAUCGUAAAACUCUGUUAUUAGGGAAGAGCAAAUGUGUAAGUAACUAUGCACGUCUUGACGGUACCUAAUCAGAAAGCCACGGCUAACUACGUG
rnacentral:rRNA from 1 species